ensembl:lncRNA
CUUGGUUUAAAUCAUAAAACAACUUAUUUCUAUUACAGCGCAGUGUAAGGAAAGAGGACUCGUCCUCACUCUCUUGAUAGUUUAACACUUGUCAGGAAUACAGAGCAUUAUUCUUGGGUUAGCAUGACAGCUAGCGGACUGAAGUAAACAUAACAGAGCUGUAACUAGCCGAACACUAGCGAGCUGUUUAGAGACUCAUACACGAACACUAACAAGACACCAGCGUGUUAUUUAACACUCCCUUUUAACACUGUUCUACAUUUUAAAGUAGCCUACUACCCAACAAACAUGAGACGUCUAUACGACGUGCAGAUCAAGUCUAAAUUGCGUCGGUCGGUCUGGACCGUAUCUGGACGUCUACUCGACGUGCAAAUCCGGUUCAUAUCUGGACGUCGAUCUACGACGUCCCUUGGACGUUGAUAGGAGGUUCAAAAUUUGACCGUCCGGCUAAGGAUUUUCUUGGACGUCUGUUCAACGUGCAGAACAGGUUCAGGAAAUCGACAUAACUUUUUUUAUAUAUAUAAAAAAUAUUUGAUUUCUGAUUUAAAUAGCACAUGUAGCCUACUCUUCUGAAACAUUUAGGUGUCAAAAUAAUGUAAUAUAUAAAUUUUUAAAAACAUAGGCCUAAUUAAAGUACCAUAAUGUGACCAUAUAAAAUCUUACAUGGAUUUAUUUAUUUAUUUGAGUGGUAUUUUUCACUGGAGCAUUGACAGAAACAGCAGUUUAUAUCUGUAUUAGAUCUAUAAAUUAAAUAUAGAUAAUUAAAUAAAGUUAAAUACAUUAAAAUAUAUUAAAGUUGAAUAUAUUUAAAUAGAUAAUUAGAUUGAAAUAAUAUUAUAUCCUAUUAAAUAAUUAAAUAAUAAAUAUUUAACACAUAGAUUUAAAUUAAAUGAAAUAGUGUAUUUAAACGUGCGCUGGCCACGAGGGGCGUUAACGUGAUGUUACGUGAGUGACGUAAACGUGAUGGCAAAAAAAAAAAAAACGUAAACGUAACGUGAUGGCGCAAAUAACCACGAAGACGGAAGAAUAAUUCUGUUUAUUACAAAAGACUGAAGAUAUAACUGCCGCCAUCCUUUAAUUUAUUUAUUUCUACGUUGAGGACACUUUAUAAACCUACAGAGAUACCGGACCAACGAACGACCUUCACAACGGGACGGAGCUAACGUAAUUAACGUUAACGGUUACUUGGAAAUUCAAACAGUAACGGUCAUCUGACAACUGCGCUGAGCCAAAGGUAAGAAUAAAUGUGCUUUUAUUCAUCGUUUUAUCAAUCUAAUGUUAAAUUUUACUUCAGUUUAAUAUUUCAAAUUAUUUAUUUGGAUUAUAAAGAUUAUAUAUUUUCAAAUUCCUCUUUUUGUAAUUGUACAUAACGUUAUCCCUGUUGGUUAAUUUGAGGUGGUCCAAGUUACAGUCUGAGGUAAAAUUUUGAUGAUCCUUUUUAACUAAGUUAUUAAAAUUAGUCACUAAAACAGGUAACUGUAAUUUUUCUUGAUCAAAUAAAGAAACGAUUUUAGAACUUAUAUUUUUUCUACUUUUCAGGACGGGAACAGCAACAAGAGUUUAACUUCUGAUUCGUAAUCUACACACUCUACUGGGCAGUUCAUGAAGACAGAUAGAUGUUGUGCCGACCAGGACAGUUCCUCCUACCACACCAGACUUUGCUGUAUAUGGAUGCCUGACCACUAGCACUGGACAUUUACAACAUUUUGGCGCCAGGGAUCCCUUGCAGAGAAGAUUUUUCAAAGACACCCUCAGAAUUACAACAGAUUUUAAGGCUUAAAAUUAUUGUGGGUGGGAGUAUAAUGAACAUAAUAUGAUUGUUUUAUUUUAUUAUUAUUAUUUAUUUUUAAAUAGUUCCCAUUUUUUAAUAAUACAUUUGUUUAAUAAUACAGCACAAUAUAGGGCUAAGUUGCACCAGGUCAGGAAAAAACACAUAAGUUGCAUCCGUGUAUAAGACACAUUUUACUAUUAAUUUCAGAAAUAAUUUAAAUACUGAUAAAUAAAACAA